rnacentral:rRNA from 1 species
UACGGGGGGGGCAAGCGUUGUUCGGAAUUACUGGGCGUAAAGGGCUCGUAGGUGGCCAACUAAGUCAGACGUGAAAUCCCUCGGCUUAACCGGGGAACUGCGUCUGAUACUGGAUGGCUUGAGUUUGGGAGAGGGAUGCGGAAUUCCAGGUGUAGCGGUGAAAUGCGCAGAUAUCAGGAGGAACACCGGUGGCGAAGGCGGGACUCUGGGCCGAUACUGACGCUGAGGAGCGAAAGCGUGGGGAGCGAACAGG